UACGUAGGGGGCGAGCGUUGUCCGGAUUCAUUGGGCGUAAAGAGCUCGUAGGCGGCUUGGCAAGUCGGAUGUGAAAACUCCAGGCUCAACCUGGAGCCGCCAUUCGAUACUGCUAUGGCUAGAGUCCGGUAGGGGAGUGUGGAAUUCCCGGUGUAGCGGUGAAAUGCGCAGAUAUCGGGAGGAACACCGAUGGCGAAGGCAGCACUCUGGGCCGGUAUUGACGCUAAGGCGCGAAAGCGUGGGGAGCAAACAGG
rnacentral:rRNA from 1 species